GGGAGCCUGGAGGUGCGGGUGCCAGGCGCCAGGAUGCGGUGGCCGGUUACCGUGUUGGGGAGCAGCCCAGGCUCACCAUAAACGGCGCGGUGCCGACGGUCCGGAGGAGAGAGAGGGUUAACCUCGGAAGAUUCGCGAUGCAGCGGGCAGCGGUGCUGGUGCGGCGGGGCUCCUGCCCCCGCGCCUCGGGCCCCUGGGGCCGUAGUCACAGCAGCGCUGCAGCCGAAGCCUCGGCGGCGCUCAAGGUGCGACCAGAGCGUAGCCCUCGAGACCGCAUCCUCACCCUGGAGUCCAUGAACCCGCAGGUGAAGGCCGUGGAGUACGCUGUGCGGGGACCCAUCGUGCUCAAGGCCGGCGAGAUCGAGAUGGAGCUGCAGCGGGGUAUCAAAAAACCAUUCACUGAGGUAAUCC
rnacentral:lncRNA from 1 species